rnacentral:rRNA from 1 species
AUGUGCAGUCAGGUUGUUCUAAGUGAGGAACCUGACAAAGUCAAAUGGCUUUUGACCAGCUCUGGCCAGUUCUUUGUUAAAUCUCUUUAUCAAUAUAUUAUUGCUAGGAGAGUAGUGUUCCCUUUUAAGUUUCUGUGGAAACUGAAGGUACCUUUGAAAAUUAAGGCUUUUAUUUGGUUAGUUAUCAAAGGGAGGAUCCUGACCAAGGACAACUUGUGUAAAAAAGGCUGGAAAGGCACCAACAAAUGUGAAUUUUGUGAUGCCAAUGAAUGUAUUGACCAUCUGUUUUUCACUUGCUCUUUUGCUCGGUUUCUUUGGAAUGUAGUUGGGAGUGCUUUGGGAAAUCCCCAAACACCCCUGUCAUUCUUUGACUUUUGCCAGAAUUGGCUUCCUAAGUAUACUGGGAAAGAUAGAGUGGUUAUAGCUAUUGGUACGACUGCUUUAUUAUGGUCGAUCUGA